GCUAGAGACUGUAGUGCUUCAUGCACAAUGAGGGCUGUAUGCAGGCCAUGGAGAGCAGGAGCACUCGGCCUGAGCAUUGUUCAUAUAGAUUCUCCCUAAUGGAGCCUAGCCUGAGAGUGACCUCACAUCAUGCUAGCCAUCAGCUGAACGUUGCUCUGCAGGGAGAACGAAAACAGGUGGUUCUCACCAUGAAUCAAAGAGGUAUUGAAUGUUACACUGGAUCUCAGCCGUGUGAGUGCAGGUUUCAUAGUGGCAAAAUGAACCUCAUCUCUGUGUGACUUGUCCUUGAGGCUAGCAUUUUUCCAUGCCAAUGGCCCGUAAAUCAUCCCCCAGGUCAUGCCUAGGCCCAGGGCACCGGCACGCUUGGCCUCCCAGUCCUGAGCACACUGCUUGCUGCAUAGCUGGCAGAGUGAUUACAUUUGGGCUGCAUUGCUAAUGAUGCCUUGAUCACUCUACUUAAUUCAAACUAGGCAGGGCAGGUUUAGCCUGCACCUAAAGUUGUACUGAAGAUCGCGCAAAUGGCACGCAGUAGGAAUGAGGGCUAACUAUGCUGUAAACAGCUCUUCAGUGUUCUGUGCGAUUCAAAUGAGGGGAAAUGCAGGCUCACUCCAAGACUCUCUGAUGGAUCUUGCUGUGCGAUUUUCUAUCUCUGACAAGGUGGGCAGGCUGCAUGGCCAGGCCCUGCUCAUUUACCCCCCCCAGUUGUAUUCUGAAUGGAUGGCAUUCUUACGAACUCAUGACCCAUUCCUUUGCAGGUGGUUGGCCUUAGGCUGGGGUUAGUUGGAGCCCAUUGCAGCAUCAUCGGAACCUAAAAGUUGUGCAGGAGGCAACCCUGGAUGAUCUGGGGCUCAUCAUUCCACUGGCUGGCUAACUAGAAACUGUAGUGUUCCACAGACAAUGGUUUGAGCAAAGGCUCCUUGAGCUCUUAAACGAUGCUAGGCCUUUUGCGGGAGGUGCGUAGUUUGAAUGCAGAGUGAGAGCUCGGCAACAGAUGGUUCAAUUGGGGGCCUUUUCCAUACUGUGUCUAUGGGGGCCUCAAUGCAUGGCCAUGCCCUGCCUAUUUUUCUAAAGUGUUCUCUCCCAACUGAUGUUUUCUUUCUGACUCGAUAACCAUUCCUUUUCAGAUGACUGUAUGCAUGCUGUGGUGAGCAGGAGCACUCGCCCUGAAUAACUGUUCUUACAGAGUCUCCCUGAUGGAGCCAGGUCUGAGAGUGAGCUCACUUCUUCCUAGCUUAAUGCUCAAAGUUGCACUGCAAGGAGGACGACGUGAAGUGGUUCUCACAGUGCUGUGAAGAGGGACUAAAUGUUACACUGGAUGCCAGCCUUGUGAGUGCAGGUCUCUUAGUUGAAAACUGUACCUCAACUGUCCAGUGCUUGAAGUCCAGGGACCUGGCAGUCUCUGCCUUUUACUAGGAGUUCCUCAAGUAGUUCCUGCCUGCAAUUCGAUAAGAGGCUGACAUUUCGGGCAUUCUAGGUAGUACCCAAUGCUUCAACUCUUUGAUUCCCGGAGGAGGGCAGGUUCAAUGCAUGGCUCACCAAUUCCCAUAGUGGCCCUCCUCAUGGCUGUGGCAAGUUCCGGCUCACUGAAUAUUGUGCCAUGACUCUCUAGACCUCUGCAUCAUUGUUUGUGUGAGUGCAUGUUCCCUGAAUGAGGAAGCAGUCUGAAAUAUUCGUGUACAAAAGUCAAGUCUGCGUGAGCUCGUGGUGAUUCUGACUGGCCUUCUCAAGCCCGCUGCUUUUCUUCUGGCCUGAGGACAGUCUCACUGCAUUUUCAAAUAAUCCAUAACCAUAUCCCUUCAGGAGAAAGCUGUGUGGCCUUUCUCACUGGGCAGCCAAGUAGUCCCCAAAGUUUGUGACAUGCAGAAAAAUAUGAGUGACCACUUUCCCAGCUGUUCAGGGUUCCUAAUCAUUCUGUGAGAGAAAGGUAAGAUGGAAUGCAGACUCACUGCUGCUUAAUUGGCCCUGCCAUUUGAUGUCUAUGGGAAGGGCCUUCUUAUUCAGUUCCUAGGCUCUGGCCCUUUGUUCACUAGGGGCAGGUAAGGACCAGGGUAUGCUUACUGUGUGGCCAAGUGGUCCUCAUGGGAGCCCUGACCAGAAGCUGCACAGAGCACACAGAAUUGCUGCAUGCUGAUCACUACUCGCCAGACCUCGGUCAGACUUUUCCUGGAGGUCAGUAGUGUUCCAUGUGAAGAAUCCUUAAACCAUCUGCCAGUUUGCACCCAGGACCAUGGCAAGAGCACAGUUGGAAUACCAGUUCUCAGAGGACUGCUGUAUAACUGGCAGAGUGAUGACACAUGCACUGCAUUCCUAAGUACUCCAUGAGCAGUCUAUUUAAGUCAAACUAGGCAGGGCAGCUUCAGCCUUCGCCUAAAGAUGGACUGAAGAUCAGGCAAAUGCAGCACAGUAGGAUAGAAGGCUCACUGUGUUAUUAACAGAUCCGUAGUGGUCUGUGCUUGUAAAACAGGGGGAAUGCAGGUUCACUCUCUGACGCUCCCCUGGAUCCUGCUGUGCUAUUUGCUAUCUGUGGCAAGGUGAGCCGACUGCAUGGCUAGGGCCUGCUAAUUUCUCCACCUGUUGUAAUCUCAAUGGACAGCAGAUUGAAGAACUCAUGAACCAUUCCUUUGCAGAUGGUUGGCCUCACGCUGGGUUUAGUUUGAGCCCAUGGCAGCAUCAGUGGAACCUAACAGUUCUGCAGAAGGCAACCCUGGAUGAUUUUCAGCUCAUCAUUUCUCAGGUUGGAUAGAGCCUGUUGUGCUUCAGGCAUAAUGGUAUGAGUGAAGGCUCCAUGAGCUCCUAAACCAUGCUAGCCCUUUAAUGGGAGGCACAUAGUUUGAAUGCAGAGUGAGAGCUCGGCAACAGAUGAUUCAAUUGGGGGACUUUUCCAUACUGCGUUUCUGGGUGCCUCAUUGCAUGGCCAUGCCCUGCCUGUUUUUCAAAAGUGUUCUCUCCCAAUUGAUGUUUUUUUUCUGACUUGAUAACCAUUCCUUUUCAGAAGAUUGUAAGCAUGCUGUGGUGAGCAGGAGCACUCGGCCUAAGCAAUUUUUCCAACAGAGUCUCCAUGAUGGAGCCAGGGCUCAGAGUGAGCUCACUUCGUGCUAGCUUAAAGCUCAAAGUCCCACUGCAAGGAGGACGACAUCAGGUGGUUCUCACAAUGCGUCGAAGAGGGACUAAAUGUUUCACUGGAUGCUAGCCUUGUGAGUGCAAUUCUCUUAUUUGCAAACUGUACCUCAACUGUCCAUUGCUUGAAGUCCAGGGACCUGGUCGUCUCUUCCUGUGACUAGGACCUUCUGAAGUUUUUCCUGCCUGCAAUGCAAUACAAGGCUGACAUGUCAGCCAUUCUAGGUAGUACCCAAUGAUUUAACUCUUUGAUUCCGGGAGGAGGGCAGG
rnacentral:lncRNA from 1 species